UACAGGUUCUGAUUGAAAUGAUCUUGGACUUCAUCCGAUUUCUCAUAAAGAUUCAUUGCUUUCUAUUAUUUGGUUUUCAGCUUGAAAGGAAUCACUGCAAUAAAUUAGAAAUAUGAAUUACAUCACCCAAAUUAAUCUACUAGGUAUUAGAAAGAACAUCAAUAAAGUUGGUUUCGAAACAAAUAAGUGAUAAGGAGAUACCCCUCUUUUCGAAUCAUUUUCUUUUUUUCUUAUAAUCCUUCUUGAUAUGUCCCUCAUUGUUACAGAAAAAAUAUUUUAAUUUAUGAGAACUUUUUUUGAUCGAUUGCUAGAUCAUUUAUAUACUUUCUUUGCCUUCUUUCUUUUAGGAUGCUCUUCUGAAACUACGUGAACAAUUGAAAUCUCUUCGUAUUUCAAUCUUUCUUUCUCUUGCAGGCAUUGGAAGAUGAGUUCAUUCAUUGAUCAUGAUUCUUUGUGUAUGUUAUAGUAAAUUUUAAAUUAGAUAAAUUAGGAUGGAAGAGAAUUAAGAAUAAACUGGAUAAGAAAAUUUUUAAAUAUUGUCAUUUUCAAGUUAUUCAAUUUUUCAGCUAUAUCACGUAUUUCUAUAAUCUGCUUUUGCACUUCAAAAAUUUUAUCAUAUUUCAUAGAGAUUAACUUGUUCAUUGGAGUACUAGCUAAGGCUUUAUUAGAUUUAGUAAACUAUUGUUCUAUAGAGGAAAGAUAUUCAAAGACCAAUUCGUUAUCAGGAAC
rnacentral:lncRNA from 1 species